GGGAAAGGUGAAAAGUACCCUGAAUAAGGGGGUGAAAAGACCCUGAAACCAUGCGCUUACAAGCGGUCGGAGCUCCGAUUUAUCGGGGUGACGGCGUGCCUUUUGCAUAAUGAGCCUACGAGUUACACCUAUUUGGCAAGGUUAAUCCUGUAGACAGGAGCAGCCGCAGCGAAAGCGAGUCUGAACAGGGCGCCAUAGUCAGGUGGGGUAGACGCGAAACUUGGUGAUCUACCCAUGGCCA
rnacentral:rRNA from 1 species